AUCUUCAGGGCGAGGUGCAAUUCCUCACCGGCGGUAUAGCCCGCGAGCCAUUUUUGGUUGAUUCGGUGAAAUUCCGAAGCCGACGGUCACAGUCCGGAUGAAAGAAGAA
rnacentral:ncRNA from 1 species